rnacentral:lncRNA from 1 species
UUUCUUGAGGGACUGUUCUAUGUCAGCAUGAGAUAAAUCACCUCAUCGAUAUAACAAUGACAAGUGAUGCAUGCCUAUCAUUUCAUUAUGAAAUCAUAUUGCUAUGACCCCCAUCCCCCAACACACACCUUCCAUUCUGCUGCAGAAUGUUCACUCCAGGAAGGCAGGGAUGCCCCAGCUGCAUCCUUCAUCUCAAGGCAGGUUUGCAGAGGGAAAGGGGGGGAAGUUGAGAGGCAGUCAGCUGCAGCCUGUGGUUAGCCCUUAUUGCCAGCUACCAUUUCUCUGAGUUUCCUUUCCAACAGAGAACCUGUAGUCCUGACUUGGCUACCCUGUCUUUGUCUCCAGGGAUGGAAAUGCCUGCUAGAAAGAACUGCUGUUCUCCUGCCAUCUAAAAAUGCUGUGUCCAUCCACUGCCACAACAGAACUGCCAUGUCUGCCUGGAAAUGCCCAAACAGUGGCAAGAGACAACCGAAAGGAAGCUGGCCAGUAAUGAAGACCACUUUGGGUACAGAGUGGUGUGCUCAAUUCUGCUGUUUUUUGACUAGGUGUUUGAAAGAGGCAAGAGAUGCAGGUGCCUGCUAUCUACAGUGGGACCCCAGCAAGUCUGCAAGGACCCACAGAGCCACCCACCGCAGCAUGGCUGACAGUUAACAAGUUUGGGAAGCAGAUGGAGAAUGUGAGCUCACCUCCGAAAGAACUUUUUCCCAUCUAUGCAAAAGACAUCAAGCCUGAGUGCCAGCUACAACUUGCACUCCACUCUGAGAAAAGCUGGGCCAAACAACAGACUGCAUUCUGCUCACCUCAAGCUGUUUCUCUCUGCCCUUUGAAGUUACCAACACCUGCUACUGGAGGCCAAGACACAGACCCUAAUCCAAAGACCACAAAAUCACUGAGAAUACUGACAACAAAGGCACACAGGGUGGGAGCAGAAAAGAACUGGGCUCUAGGAACAGGGGAGCAUUUAGAUUUCCAUGGGUGAGAGCAAAGGACACACUUCAGACUGCAGAAAUGAGAGCUGAUGGGCCUGAGCCUGGGGAAAGGUGACACAGACCCCAGAUUGCAUGCACACAGUGCAGGGUCCAUCCCUCCAGGCCAUGCUGGGACUGGAGACCAAGGAGAGGGCACAUUCCCCACAGCUUCCACAGACAGUUCCACCCUCCUGCAGGGUCAGGGCAUCACAGGGUAGACACAAAGAUCCAGAAAAUGUAAAACAAAUGACUAGAGCUUAAGAUGGUGGCAUUUGAAGACCACUGGCCUUGACUUUCUGCUCACUGACCCACUUGACACAGCUGAGCUCAGGCUCAGUGUGAGCGUGUGUGUGUGUGUGUGUGUGCCUGUGUUCACACAUGAGUGCAGGGUGAUAGAAGUGGAUCUUUGGCAUUAGGUACACACUGGCUACAACUGUCAAACAGAAAAUGACACAGCUGGGAAUGAAGAAAUGUCAAAUCAUUUCUUCUGGACUUACCAAAAUGCUUAAGGACUUAAGCAUUCUAGACUUACCGUGGGGUUCUGCCCAAAAAUAUCAUAGUGGAAAAUGCAUCAAAUAUACCUAACCUAAAUAUAAACCAUAAAUGUAAUCAGAACACUCACAUUAACUCACAGUUGGGCAAAAUCCUCUAAAACACAAAGUCUGUUUUAUCAUAAAGUGUUGAGUAGCUCAUGCAAUGUACUGAAAGUGAAAAACAUAAUGGUAAACAUACCAUUAAUACCACUGUAAAGUUGAAAGGUCCUAAAUUGAACUUUUAUAACUCAGGAACUAUCUACAAUGGUUUAUCAAAACAUGAAUAUAGACUCAAACCCAAAGUGGGGUUGGGCUAUAAUUGUUUGGGGGUAUUUUUGGAGACAUAAUUCACAUAGCAUACAAUCCACUCAUUUAAGAUAUGUAAUUCAAUGUUUUGUAAUGCAGUCAUCAUCACAGUCAAUUUUAGGGUAUUUUUAUCAUCCCCAAAAAGAACUCUGGGCUCUUUGUCUAUCACUCCCCAAACCUGACAUCUCUCCCAUGCCAACCCCUGGCAACAGCUGAUCUAUCUACUGUCUCUAUGGGUUUGCCUAUUUUGGGUAUUUCAUACGAACAGAAUUGUGGUCUUUUGUGACUAGCUUCUUUCACUUAGCAUCAUGUUUUCAAGGUUAAUCCACAUCAUAGUGUUACACAUUCCUUUAUUUUUAAGGUUGAAUAAUAUUUCCUUGCAUGGACGUGCCACAUUUGGACAUUAGGGUUGUUAUUACCUUUUGUGGCUGUGAACAUGAAUACAGCUUUAGUAAAUGUUUUUUAAACCUUCUUUAAAAGAGACUAAAGGGGUAAAUACCAUCUACAGAUGUGAGGAAAGCAGAGAAAGGAUGGGGUUGCUCAAAAUGGGAUGUUCUGAGAGGAUGCCUUAUCGCCACCACAGAUCAUGUAGCCCAACAUCACAGACCAAUCUCAGUUCAAACCUCUUCAAUGAAACCUACCCAGACCUUGCCCCCAAGACUUCUGAAGAGGUGUGGGGAACAAAGAAGAAAUGGGCUAGGAAAGUAUUUAACACAUCAUAAAAAAAAAAUUGUAAAAAAAGAACCAAGAUACUCAUGUAAUGGUACAAGAUCCCAAUGAUGAAUGUAACUGUAUUUUAUACUGAAAAUGUACCAAUAAAUUUAAUGGGGAAAAAAAAUUGUACAACUAGAAGAUGGUAGUCUGGAGAUAACUGUUAAUUUUUUAACUUUUUAAAUUUCUCUGUAUUUUAGGACAGGGUUUCAAGUCACUAAGUUGCCCAGACCAGGCUCGAACUUGCAAUCUUCUUGCUUCAGCCUCUCAAGAGGUUGAGAUUACAGGUGUGCUGGGAUUACAGUUGUAUUACCACAUCCAGCUCCAAAACUAUUU